GAGUUUGAUCAUGGCUCAGGAUGAACGCACAAGACGUGCCUAACACAUGCAAAUCGAAUGAAAAGAAUUAAUUAUUGUUUUCAUGGUGAACGGGUGAGUAACACAUAAGAAUCAGCUUUUAGAUAAGGCAUAAAAGAGUAAUAUCUUGGUAAUUCCUUAUAUGCGCAGCAGUGCUUAAAAAGGGGAGUCCCGUCUAAAAACGAGCUUAUGCCUGAUUAGCUAGUUGGCGAGUUAAAAGCUCACCAAGGCGAAGAUCAGUAGCUGGCCUGAGAGGGCGGCCAGCCACAUUGGGACUGAGACACGGCCCAAACUCCUACGGGAGGCAGCAGUGGGGAAUCUUCUGCAAUGGGCGCAAGCCUGACAGAGCGGCGUCGUGUGAAGGAAGAAGGCCUGAAAUAGGUUGUAAACUUCUUUUACUGA
rnacentral:rRNA from 1 species